UGGGGAAUAUUGGACAAUGGGCGCAAGCCUGAUCCAGCAAUGCCGCGUGGGUGAAGAAGGCCUUCGGUUGUAAGCCCUUUGUACGGGAGAAAAGCUGCCGGUUAAUACCCGGUGGUCAUGACGGUACCGUAAGAAUAAGCACCGGCUAACUUCGUGCCAGCAGCCGCGGUAACACGAAGGGUGCAAGCGUUAAUCGGAAUUACUGGGCGUAAAGCGUGCGAGGUUUUUUCGGGGUUAAGUCUGUCGUGAAAGCCCUGGGCUCAACCUGGGAAUGGCGAUGGAUACUGGCCAGCUAGAGUGUGAUAGAGGAUGGCGGAAUUCCCCGGUGUAGCGGUGAAAUGUGUAGAGAUCGGGAGGAACAUCCGUGGCGAAGGCGGCCAUCUGGAUCAACACUGACGCUGAGGCACGAAAGCGUGGGGAGCAAACAGGAUUAGAUACCCUGGUAGUCCACGCCCUAAACGAUGCGAACUGGAUGUUGGUCUCAACUCGGAGAUCAG
rnacentral:rRNA from 1 species